AGUUCCCCCAAGCCCCAGUUCCACUCAUCUCCUCUCAUCUCUAAAAACUCAAAGAAUGAAGAAACUCAACAAAGAAAAGAACCCUAGUGGCGUAGUCCCCCAGCCCCGGAUCCUGCAACCCCCGCAGCCACCACAGCCCUGCAGGCCCCACAGCCAACGCAUCUUCUCUCUUCUGUUCGAGCUCUCUCUCUGUAUUCGCCGGUGUCACCUUUCUCCCUUUUUGCCGCCGUCACUUCCCUUCCUCUUCGCUGCCGGUAAGCACUCCCAUUCUUCUUCGCCGCCGAAUUUUGGAUUCGGAUCAGCUUCUUAAGCCAUGGCAAAUUUCUCACCUAAUUCAAUCAAUAAUGCCAUUCGCGGACAUGUUUCUGUAUUGAUAUGCUUAUUUUUUAAUUUUAUUGGUACCAUUUGUAUCUAAAUAAUGGAGAGACCUUGUGUUAAUUAAUAUAAAUACAUUAUUUCUAUUAGUGUUUUUA